rnacentral:rRNA from 1 species
UACAGAGGGUGCGAGCGUUAAUCGGAAUUACUGGGCGUAAAGCGUGCGCAGGCGGUUUUGUAAGUCUGUCGUGAAAUCCCCGGGCUCAACCUGGGAAUUGCGAUGGAGACUGCAAGGCUAGAAUCUGGCAGAGGGGGGUAGAAUUCCACGUGUAGCAGUGAAAUGCGUAGAGAUGUGGAGGAACACCGAUGGCGAAGGCAGCCCCCCUGGGUCAAGAUUGACGCUCAUGCACGAAAGCGUGGGGAGCAAACAGG